rnacentral:rRNA from 1 species
UUNUGGAAGUAAAAAGUCGUAACAAGGUUUCCGUAGGUGAACCUGCGGAAGGAUCAUUACCGAGUGCGGGCCCUCUGGGUCCAACCUCCCAUCCGUGUCUAUCUGUACCCUGUUGCUUCGGCGUGGCCACGGCCCGCCGGAGACUAACAUUUGAACGCUGUCUGAAGUUUGCAGUCUGAGUUUUUAGUUAAACAAUCGUUAAAACUUUCAACAACGGAUCUCUUGGUUCCGGCAUCGAUGAAGAACGCAGCGAAAUGCGAUAAUUAAUGUGAAUUGCAGAAUUCAGUGAAUCAUCGAGUCUUUGAACGCACAUUGCGCCCCCUGGUAUUCCGGGGGGCAUGCCUGUCCGAGCGUCAUUGCUGCCCUCAAGCACGGCUUGUGUGUUGGGCUUCCGUCCCUGGCAACGGGGACGGGCCCAAAAGGCAGUGGCGGCACCAUGUCUGGUCCUCGAGCGUAUGGGGCUUUGUCACCCGCUCCCGUAGGUCCAGCUGGCAGCUAGCCUCGCAACCAAUCUUUUUACGCACAGGUGACCUCGG